GGGCAAUUUGGACACUGGGCGAAAGCCUGAUCCAGCCAUGCCGCGUGUGUGAAGAAGGUCUUCGGAUUGUAAAGCACUUUAAGUUGGGAGGAAGGGCAGUAACUUAAUACUUGGUUGUUUUGACGUUACCGACAGAAUAAGCACCGGCUAACUCUG
rnacentral:rRNA from 1 species